rnacentral:rRNA from 1 species
UACGUAGGGUGCAAGCGUUGUCCGGAAUUAUUGGGCGUAAAGAGCGCGUAGGCGGCCCGAUAAGUCCGCUGUGAAAGUCAAGGGCUUAACCCUUGAAUGCCGGUGGAUACUGUCGGGCUAGAGUCCGGAAGAGGCGAGUGGAAUUCCUGGUGUAGCGGUGAAAUGCGCAGAUAUCAGGAGGAACACCCGAGUGGCGAAGGCAGGCUCGCUGGACGGGUAACUG